rnacentral:lncRNA from 10 species
ACCGUGGGCCUUUGACUGAGCUGCAGGGAGGGAGAGAGAUGGACCCAGUCAGCCAGAAGGGUUGACCAUGGCACUUGGUCCUGUCUGUGAACUUGCAGGUGUGGAAAAUAAGGUUCAGUGAGGCGAUGGAUGCAUCGCAUAACGGAGUCUCACUCUGUUGCCCAGGCUGGAGUUCAAUGGUGCAAUGAUCUCGGCUCACUGCAACCUCCGCCUCUUGGGUGCAAGUAACUCUCCUGCCUCAGCCUCCCGAGUAGCUGGGAUUACAGCAAUGGUGAAAGGCAGUUUUCCUCGAAUGAGAGCAUCAGACAGGCAUGCCCGGGACCAGCUGUGGGAAUCCUGAGAGACAGACAUGAAGCACUUCACUUGGAAAUGCUUUCUUAGU